UACGUAGGGUGCAAGCGUUGUCCGGAAUUAUUGGGCGUAAAGAGCUUGUAGGCGGUUUGUCGCGUCUGCUGUGAAAUUUCGGGGCUCAACCCCGAACUUGCAGUGGGUACGGGCAGACUAGAGUGUGGUAGGGGAGACUGGAAUUCCUGGUGUAGCGGUGGAAUGCGCAGAUAUCAGGAGGAACACCGAUGGCGAAGGCAGGUCUCUGGGCCAUUACUGACGCUGAGAAGCGAAAGCAUGGGGAGCGAACAGG
rnacentral:rRNA from 1 species